CCUGCGUUGGGAUUUAUGCUAAUAAUUUAGGUAUUAAUCAACGAUGUACAUUAUUAAUGACUAUGCAAAACAUGGCCAGAUGACGCCUACAUAUCCUUUACCUCCAAAUACUGCCAUGUAUAAUGCUUGUCACCAAACAACUGAUUACUGACAAUUUGCAAAUUUUGGCCCAUCUAAUCUGUGCCAGUCUGCACAUUUUAACUUUCAACUUGCUGUGAAACGUGUACAUAAUCAAGAGAGAUGGGAUGCCUCAGACAGGACGAGGACGUAUAGGUGUUGUCAGCUAAAUUCACAAACAUACCUGCCUGGGGUGCCCCGCUACACAGCUCUGACUUCCCUUGGCUCUUUGAGAGGCCAUUAGGCCACAGCAGCCAAGAGAUUUAAAAAAAAAGCUCUAAAAAAGAGCACACCUAGUGGUGGGCAUUGCCCACCUGACAUUUCCAGGCAUAUUUCCCCGAGUAUGUGGUGCAGCACACGCAGUCAGCUGGCGAGUUGUGACAGCUGGGGACUGCCUGCACAGCACAACCCACCACGCAUGCUGGGCACCUUUACUCAGUCGGUUUGGGAAACUUUAUUCAAUUGGUGUAUUUGGGCCAUGUAUCAGUGAGGUGCAUCUUUUUACUUUUUAAACACUUGAUUGAACUGGGGAUUCCCAACGCUCCCUCAGGCGUUCCCUGAGUAACAAACGGUUUUGAGAGGGAGGAGCAACGGCUGCGCUCCCCAUCCCGCUCUUUUAGGGCGGGCAGGAAUAUCCUGAGCUUUGUUUUUUAAACUUUACAGAUGCUACAGUUUUAACACUGCGCCAGUAUCGCUGGAAGGAGCCGCACGAGGGGCACCAACGCCCUCAGGCUGCCUCCCCCCCCCCCAUUCCCUCCCCCGGCCGGCUCCAUGCCCGGCGGCGCCGGAAGGGAUUUGUCGCCCUUCCGCCGCGGGGUCACGUGACGUCCCGUCGGCCCCGCAAGAUGGCGGCGCCCAUGUUGCUGCCCGAGUCCCCCCUGGGGAAGCUGAGCCAUCAAAAAUACAGAGCUAUUCUGAAAAAAGAAAAGCGGAAAAAAAAGCGGCAGGCACUGGCCAAACUGAGAGACUCUGAAGCUACAGAAAAAGAUGAAUCAGUGUCUGAGGAGGAAGAGGAGGAACUGGAAGAAGAGGAAGAAGAAGAAGAGGAGAAAAAGCUCGAGGCAGAAAGACAAAAACUACAUGAGCAGUGGUUGCUGAGAGAAGAAAAGGCCCAAGAAGAGUUCAAGCUUAAGAAAGAAAAAGAAGAGGCUGCAAGAAAACGUCAAGAAGAAGAAGAGGUGAUGUAUAAACUGAGUGUUAUAUUUGUGCCUGGUAAUAAGGAAAACUUCUAAAAGUGUUUAAUAUCUUCUACUGUUCCAUAGUGUACACAGUUUUGUUGAUGUUGCUAAGUCUGAAAGUGUAAGCUCUUAUAGUUUCUUUCAUUCUAGAUAGCAAAAUUAAAAAGACACAAAAAUACUCUUUAAAUUGGUUUUUGUUCAGAGAUUUAGUGGUUUAUGACUGAAUGAGAACUUUAUGGUCAAGGAGCUACAAUACAAUGUGAUAGUUUCGAAUUUGACUGUAGUGAUUAUAAAAUAUUUACUUGUUUCCUUAAAUAACUUUUUAAAAUCUCUUUUAUCGUAAAGAGAAAGAUCAAAGAAGAAUGGGAAGAGCAGCAAAGAAAAGAGAGAGAAGUCGCACAGCAGAAGCAGCAGGAGAAGAGAGAAAGAGAGGUGAUUCCUGGCAGUGGGAGGAUAAACGUGUUACAUAUCCUCUCGCAUUAUCUGAUGCACGAGUCUAUGCAUGUUGAAGGUGGAUUUUAUUCUAAUUGCAAGUGUAUAAAUGUGUUAGUUACUUCUCUCAGUCCUAAGUUGCUGAAAUUAUUCUUCAUUGUUAAAGAGGAGCUAGCAACUCUGUUUACCCGGGGGGAAUAACUAAUUCUAAAUCAUCGGGUCAUGUUUGUAAUAUGUACUUUUGUACAUCAGUUAAACGUGAAGGUGCACUGUGAAUGCAGUUUCUGGUACGUGCCCUUCUUUACAUCUUUACAUUAAAAGUGAUCCUUAUUUAAUGUCCCAGUUGAACACAAUCAGUAUGGAAGAAAAUUCCCAAUGAGGACAUGGAAUUACAUUGCUGCUGUUCCUUAACAGAGUUCUUACUCAAAAGAUACAUUACAGCUCUUCUUUACCUGACUCAUCCAACAGGACGUAUCUUUUUUUCCAGAGUUCCCUGAGUGGAGGAAAAAAGUUAUAAAUGGCUAUUUCCAGUAUAACACUUAAUUUAUAACACUAAGUGUACAUUCUUCUUAAGUUUUAGGAGUCGAAUAAACUGGAUGUAAGAUGCCUGUAUGGAAAUCCAAAGGGAGGACUGGCCUAUCACCAGUAAAGGGUGAUUGCAGCUUCCCAGGACCCGUCACAAAUCAGCUUCUCCGCAUUAGCAAAAGGUUCUUCUAGUUUAGUACAACUCCUGGGAGGUGCCUUGAUACCAUGUCUGGUAGCCGCACUAGGAGAGGAGACAUGAGCACAUGGUAUUGUCUCCUGCACUUAAUUGUUGCACUUUAUGUCACGAGUUACAUAAUACUUCCACGAUGAAUGAAAAAGAACAGCAGUUGUGUUUCCUGCCAGUCUUCCUCUUGUGCUAUGUAUCUGUGCCUUUCCAGAGUAGGGAGAGAAAACGUUGGUCUCACCCCUGUUGAAGGCUGAGGUAGAGUUCCCAGAACUAUGCCAUGGUUAACAGCAGAAUUUUGUUCCUUCCCGUUCUUGGGAAGGGGUUUGUGCGGUGUCUGGGUUUGCCCAAGCUUCCAGUGGACUAAUUUUGUCCCCUGCACUAAAUGGAAGCUGCUUUCUGUUUUUUGUUCUGUUUGUUUUUCUGGAUUACUAAUUUACUGGUCUAGUGAGCUAAAUUGGCUCAUAGAGGGCAUUGACAUACGCUCAGAGGGAUGCUGUGAGUGCUCAGCUGGGAGUGGAGCCACCCAUUUCAGCAACAGAAAGUUAGUAAAUUGAUUUGGCCUGUCUCUUUGAACUGCAGUUUAUUCAAAUUCUGUCUCACUGAAUGAAAAAAAAGGUUUAUUUUUUUACCCACUUAAGAUGGGGAAGUAGUUAUUUUGGGUUUUUGUCUUUUUUUCCUCACAUUGAUUUUUUUUUUUUUUUUUAACUUGCUCCUCCUCUUUUUAGAUCUAAUUAAUUCACUUCCAAAUCAGAACAACGAUAAUGUGUUUUCUUGUAUUGGCUAUCUUUAAUUGUCUAUUUAAAUGUCUUUAUUCUUGAAAUUUCCUAGAAUAAUUUGAGAGAACUAAUUUCCAGCUAGUCUUGGAGUGUGUCUAUUGCUUUGCUCAUCCAACUUAGAGGAGGGAAGGGAAAGAAUGUCCUCAUUGUUUUUGCUUUGUUUGAAAGAGUAGAUGCAGCAAAGCUUACCAGGUUUCUGAUACUAAGAUUUCUUAGCAGUUAUAAACUUGGGUUUGACAGAGGCUUACUAAGCUACGUGCUUUUCUGUGGUACACAGGAUGUUCCAAGUCAAAAAGUUUAGCACAACUAAAUGAUUACAAGUAUAACUGUGACAAGAUUGAGUACUAGACCAAGAGAUGCAUUUAACUAUUGAGUAGUUCAAUGAUAGUUUCAAAAAAGAAAAUGAAAUUUUUGAAGUUGUCUAGCAUUCAGGUUAGAAAAUUGUCCACAUGAAAGUCUAGCCUGAUGUAUCCUUUAACAGCUUUGUACCAUGUGAAAUGCUACAAAGCAAAGCAAAACGUCUGCUUUUAAAGCAAACCCCACGAAACUUUCAUCAUGCAUAAUCAUUGAGUAUUGUAAAUUAGGUUCUUAACUAAAGAAACCAGAUGUUUUGUGUGUCCUUGGGAUUUUCACUAGUCCUGUGUUUGCACCAUU
rnacentral:lncRNA from 1 species